CUUGAUUCCUAUUCCAGUGCUCUUUCCCCUGUUUAAUACUUUCUGCCCUAACAUGCAUGUCUUCAACAACUCUCUAACUGGUACGCCUUGUCAUCACCCUCCUAUACUCCUUAAACUCCCUGCCCAAUACUCUACAGCCAUUAGAGUCACUCCUUAUCUGCUGUCUCCAGAACACCUUUGCAAAAAGUUGUACUUUACACCUAGGAAAAAAGGCCCUUGGAUAUUCUAUUGUCUGCACUGAUUGAGGCAACGAGAAAGCUAAUGGAAAUAGUGGAUCUUGAGAUGAACAAGACAUACCCCUAAUUCGUAAGACACCCGAGGUCUAGUGGAAAAACAAAUCCCUAAAGCAGUAGUAAAACCGCAGUCAUGAUAAAAUGGUAAGUCUGGUGACUGGGAGGUAAAGGGGGAAGCACUGGGAAGGGCAUGAAGUCCAACCUGGGCUGACCAGGGAAGGCUUCCUGGAAGAGGCGAGUGUUGAAAUGCAUGAGUAUGAACCAGGCAAAGACUGGAGGAGACACAGAAUCCCGUGGACGUAAGAAACAACAUCAACGUGGAGGGAAAACCAGCAGUUUGGUGCCACUGGGGCACACAUAUAGAAGAGCAAAAGCCAAAGCAGGGAAGAAGCAACAGGAUUGUACCCACCUAUAACGAGAAAGCUUAACUUACUGACAUAUUCUCAUUGCUGAAGACUCUGUCUGAAUGAGGAUUUCAAUCUCAAGUCUAGGAUGUGAUUUCAUCUGGUAAAUGUCUUAUGGAAGGCUGAGGAGCAGCCUAAUGAGGUACUGCUGAGUUGGGAGGAGGUGGGAGGAGCUGAGAGGGCUAUCUGGACUCACUUCCCUCAAAAUGAAACCUUGAUAUUUUCAAAGCUUGUGUCCCUGGAGCCCUCACUUGGGUUAGGGGGAGACCCCUGAUUUUAUUUAUUCAUGCUAGGGAUGGUAAUACCUUGUUCUCUAGGUCCUGGGCUUUCUAAAGAAGAUUAUUUUUAGCUCUAAAGUUAAAUGACACAUUGUUUGGGGGAGGAGGGGAGAUCCUUUGAUGGGGUCCUUUAAAAGAGUGCCCCACCCCCAACGCUGUCCUCUUGCCUUGGCAGGACCUCUUGGCAGGACCUGUCUGAGUACUUUGGACAAAGACAGUAAGCAUCAUUGCUUCUGUUUGCGGCUAGUUUUUCUUUCUGUUUCCAGGUGAAGGGGAGAGGCAGACACGGAAGAAGCGCAUCUGUAGCUAAGAAAGAAAUACACUGACCCCAUUUCCAGUGGUUGAGCUUCUCUCCAAGUAGGUAGAUGCUGGCGAUGAAGACGUAGCUGAGAGAGAAGAAAGCUGCUAGACCCAAGAGGCUGAGUUUGGCAAACACAGGAUACACCCAGGUACCCGUCUCAAAGUAGAGCCAUAGGAUGCUGCAGGAAAUAAGAAGUCGUGGUGGUUAUAGCAGGAGGAGAAAAACAAGCCAUUUUCUCAUCAGGAUUAAUGAGGUACUGGUACCCAGGCAGGGGAAGAGAACCCAUCAGGGACGUUUGUCAACAGCUGUAGUAUUCCCACAAACCUAAAGAAGUGAGGCUUUUCUGGGUAAAUCAACUUGAUUCAAUAAGACAUGCUGUUUGAUGGGCUGGGCUGGGCUGUUUUACCUAAUCCACUUAAAUUCAACAUUGGUGAAAAAAUAUAAGAGAACAUAGGGCCAGGCACUGUGGCUCAUGCCUGUAAUCCCAGCACUUUGGGAGGCUGAGGGGGGUGGAUCACCUGAGGUCAGGAGUUCGAGAGCAGCCUGGCCAACAUGAUGAAACCCCAUCUCCACUAAAAAUACAAAAAAUUAACUGGGCAUGGUGGCUCAGGCCUGUAAUCCCAGCUACUAGGGAGGCGGAGGAAGAAGAAUCGCUUGAACCUGGGAGGCAGAGGUUGCAGUGAUCCAAGAUCACGCCACUGCACUCUAGCCUGGGCAACAAGAGUGAAACUUUGUCUCAAAAACAAACAAACAAACAAACAAACAAACAUAGAACCAUCGUUAGCUAAAGAACUAAAGAGAGUAUGUGGGAACAUGAAUGAUCCCUUUCCCUGAGAGGUAUGGCCUGCUGAGACAUUGAACCUGCUAUUAUGGCAUUGAUUUUGCUGGCUCUAAGCCAGAGAAGUGGGGUUUGCUUUUUUGGAUCUAAGAAUCAGGUGCAGCUUUCCCUUAGCUCUCCAAGUCUGCGGGGAUGAGGGAGCAGAGAUAGAGCGUUAUUGCCCUAACACAAUAUGCCUAGGAUUUAACUGUCGGCCCUGAUUUUCACUCAUGCAUAUAGCCAUAAAUAGAGUGUUAGGCAGUAAUGCAUGGAUUUGCAGGGAGGCUCAGAUCUUGCUUAUGUGAGGAUAGGCUGUAAGUCAUUUCUGGAAGCCGAGAGAAGGAAAAGAAAUGCUAGGAGAAGAGCCAUGAUGUCUAAGUGAAGCCUAAAAAUGCAGUUUGCUGGAAACCAACUGCACUGGAAGGUGCCAAAGUCUGAAAUAACUUUAAAAAAUUAAAUGUGGGGAAGCUGAUGCAUCAGCUACAGUUCAUCAUUGGUUAGGAGCACAGAAUCUGGAACUGGGCUUCUGUGAUUCAAACCCCAGCUCUGCCACCUAGUAGCUAUGUUACCUCCAGCAAUUUCAUCAACCUUUCUGUCCCCAUCUCCUCAAUGUGUAAAGUGAAGAUCCAAACAGCAUACACCUUCUAAGGCUGUUGUAAAGAUUACGGGAGUUAACACAUGUAAAAGACACAGAACAGUGCUUGGCACAUUGUAAUAUUUGACAAGAGUUCAAAAGCUUCCAUCUCCACUGAGGGAUGGCACAAUGGGAGUGCUCUCAGAAAGCCUUCUUUGAAGCUGCUGAUCUCUUGUAGCAAUUAGGAUAGGCCAGGUUAUGCUUCAAAAACAAUAUUUAAAUUUGAAUAUCCCACGUUGUCAAAGGAAUUCAGAUGGAAGAAUGAAAUUCUGUGCUUAAACUUUCAGAAACCCAAGGGUGAUCUCUGUCAUUUCAAAUACUUGAAGUUUGUUAAAUGGUUUGUGGAAGAGUCAAGGGCUAUAUUCAGGACCGGGAGUAGGGUGAAGCAAGAGAGGCCCUAGGGUGUAAAACUUAAGGGAUCAUCUCUGCAACAAAGGACACAAUAAACAGUGUGAAAAGGCAAUCCAUGGAAUGGGAAACAAUAUUUCUAAUCAUAUCUCUAAUAAGGGGUUAAUAUCCAAAAUAUGUAAAAUAUUCCUGUAACUCAACAAUAACAAAAAACCCAAAUAACUCAAUUAAAAAUGGACAAAGGACUUGAAUAGACCUUUUACAGAGAAGAUACAUAAAAGGCCAACAAAUGCAUGAAAGGAUGUUCAACAUCACUAAUAACUAGAAGAAAUGCAAAUCAAAAUGACAGUGAGAUAUUGUCUUACACUCAUUAGGAUGGAUACUAUAUUUUUUUUAAAAAGACAAGAUAACAAGUGUUAGUAAGGACAUAGAGAAAUUGGAACCCUUGUUCAUUGUUGGUAGGAAUGGAAGAUGGUACAUCUGCCUUGGAAAACUAUAUGGUGGUUCUCCCCAAAAUUAAAAUAGAAUUACCAUCUGAUCCAGCAAUUCCACUUCUGGGUACACACCCAAAAGAACUGAAAACAUGGCUAACAUGGUGAAACCCCAUCUCUACUAAAUAUACAAAAAAUUAGCCAGGCGUGGUGGCAGGUGCCUGUAGUCCCAGCUACUUGGGAGGCUGAGGGCAGGAGAAUGGCAUGAACCUGGGAGGCAGAGCUUGCAGUGAUUGGAGAUCGCGCCACUGCACUCCAGCCUGGGCGAGAGAAUGAGACUCUAUCUCAAAAAAAAAAAAAAAAGGAAUUGAAAACAGGGAUCUGAAGAGAUAUUUGUACACCCAUGUUUAUAGCAGCAUUAUUCACAAUAGCCUGAAGGUGGAAUCUCCCCAAGUGCCCACUGAUAGAUGAAUGGAUAAAUAAAAUGUGGCUUAUACAUAGGCAUUAAGAAGGAAGAACAUUCUGACACAUGCUACCACACAGAUCAACUUUGAAGACAUGGUAAGUGAAAUAAACCAGUCGUAAAAGGACAAAUACUGUAUAAUUCCAUUUAUAUGAGAAACCUAGAAUGUCAGAUUCAUAGAGGGAGAAAGUAGAAUGGUGCUUGCCAUGUGGUUGCGGGAGGAGGCAGCGGGGAAUGCUAUCUAUGGUUUCAAUAUGGUUUGUUUGUUCGUACCAAAACUCAUGUUGAAAUUUGGUCCUGCGUGUGUUGGUGUUGGGAGGGGGAGCCUAGUGGGAGGUGUUCGGGUCAUGGGGUUGGAUCUCCUAAGAAUGGUUUGAUGCUGUUCUUGUGAUAGUAAGCUCUAGAAAUGGAUUUUUUCUAUGAGAAUGGGUUGUUAUAAAUCUAGGGUGCCCCUCAGGUUUUGCCCUUUUCACACGUGUCCAUUUCCCCUUUGAUCUUCUCCACCACAUUGUGAGGCAGCAGUAAGGCCCUUGUCGGCAGCCAGGGCCAUGCCCUUGAACUUCUCAGCCUGCAGAAUAUGAACUAAAUAAACCUCUUUUCAAUCUCUGAUAUCCUUUUAUAGCAACACAAAAUGGACUGAGCCAGGGAGUUAUUGUUUAACGGGUAGACUUUCAGUUUGGGAAGAUGUAAAAGUUCUGGAGAUGGAUGGUGGUGAUGGAUGCACAACAAGGUAAAUGUACAAAAUGCUACAGAGCUUAAAAAUGAUCAAAAUGGUAAAUCACUUAAAAUCGUUAAAGUUGUAAAUAUUGUGUACCUUUUACCACAAUUUAAAUGUAUCUAAGGAGGUGUCAAUUUUAGGGUCAUAUAAAUGUAGGGUUGGCAUUUAGUUCCUCGCCUGGGCCCUGCUGGUAUCACUCUGCUUUCCCAAACUUGUCUGGAUGUUCCUCCCAGAUUGAGAAUGAGGUGACUAGAACAAACAAUAAUUAUCAUCAUUGUUACUAAUAUUAGAAUUCUUUUUCUUUUUUUAGAUGGAGUCUCACUCUGUUGCUCAGGCUGGAGUGCAGUGGUGCAAUCUCGGCUCACUGCAAGCUCCGCUUCCUGGGUUCAGCGAUUCUCCUGCCUCACCCUCCCGAGUAGCUGGGUUUACAGGCGUGCGCCACCAUGCCCAGCUAAUUUUUGUAUUUUUUGUAAAGACAGGGUUUCACCAUGUUGGUCAGGAUGGUCUCAAACUCCUGACCUUGUGAUCCGCCCACCUCAGCCUCCCAAAGUGCUGGGAUUACAAGCAUGAGCCACCAUGGCCAGCCUAGAGUUCUUUAAGAUAUGCGUUCCAUGGAUGCAUUACAGGAUGCCCACAGUGAUUCUUACCUGCAUGGCUACUUCUCAUGGCAGGACAAAGAAGGCAUUUUGGUUGAAUAAGAACUAAGGUUUGAACAGGAAAGAUGAGAAGAGCAGGAGAUGAGAUACCCUCUCCUCUCCUAGUCCUCCACCUCCAUCCCUCUUCAGUUUGGAUCCUGGCUGGGCUGGACCCCGCAUGUUGACAACAAGGAUGUGUUGUGUGGCAUCUUUUUAAUUAAUUUUCAUAUAUGAAUUUACAGGUAGGGUAAGGAUUUCUUCUGUGGAAAAUGGUGCUGAGAUUCCAAUCCCUGCUGAGUUGAGGUUAUAAAGCUAUGGUUGACCUGGAUGAUCUCAGUUGAAGGUCAUAUUUUGGAAACGGUAACAGUGGCUCUGGUAGGGAGUUCACAACAUGGUUGGUUCUGAGCAGGACCAACCAUGUGUUAGGGAAAAUAUUUAUUCAAUAGAAAAAUGAAUAAAAACCAGAAAGAGAAGAAGAGAAUUGCUGAUUCUGGAAAUGGCAAGGUGGCUGGUCCUGGAACUCAGCUUAGUCCACCCCUUGGCAGUUUUUAAUGUAUUCUCAGGGUAAGAUGUGUACAUGUAUUUGUAAAUGAGGCAUGAAUUUAAAGAACUGUUACUUCUGGGAACCCAGGAAGCUUUGCUGAGGGAUCUUACCCUGGAGAGCACAGUAUAAAAGAAAGUAAUUCUCUCUCUUGCCUCAUAGCAACUACUUUGGGGAAGGGACUUUACAAACAUCUGCCCCAAGGCUGGGUGACAGCUGCAUAUCUGUGCAGUGUUUGUACGGGGCAUGCAAUACUUUACACACUAGCAGGGACACCUGCAGCAUCAGUAGGUUUCUGGUCUACCAAGAGCAGUGUGAUGAUGCACUCCAGGCCAGCUGGGGUGGUUGCUGUGGCGAGUAACAUUGUUAAUUCUACCAACACAGGGGGCUGAUGGGUAAAUGACACUGUUGGCAUCAGCAGUGGGCAUGGUGUGCUAACCCUUAACACUGUGCCAGGUGGGGAUGUUGGACCCAGUGGGGAUUACAGUUUUGCUAUCUGUGUGUAAGAACAAUGCUCAGAACAGUGUGCAGCAUGGGUUGUGCAGUGCACGACAGGGGCAUGUGUGAGCACUCAGCAGAUUAUUGGAACUCCUUGGAAAACUGGACCAAGACCUCCAAGGCAGAAGGGUGCUUGGGGAUAUCACUGGAACUGUGAAAUAACCAUACAUAAAAACUAAGACAUUGUGAUCAAAGUACAUAAUGUGCUGGCUAGUUUUUAUUUUUAUAUUGGUUUAUAUUUUAUUUUGUUUCCCAUCUCUUGUCACUCCAACUUAUUUGAAGCACUAUUGUCAAGAAUGACAUUUUAAAGCAUAAUUUGCUGGCCAAGUUACAAAUACUGCUCACCCUUGCUUCCACUCCAAACAAACAAACAAACAACAGCAACAACAAAUGCUCCCAUUUUCUAUACUAUGUCCAACAUCCUCUAGUCUGCCAUCUGCAAGCCUUCAUGAGUGGGUAGUUCCAGGGAUAUUUCUCAUUAGUCUCUUUCACAAACAGGUCCAGCAAAGAGAAUUACUGACCCUUGCUCUCACGCUUUCUGCACUCUCCUGGCCUUGGGACUGUGCUCCUUUUGUUUACCUUCUCUCAUUUUUUCUAGCUCCAAUCCUGCCGGUCCUUCAGGGCUCAGAUCCAAUGCAUGCCUUCCACAGUGCCCUUCCCACACCGCUCAGCUGGAUGCAAACUCUUCCUUUUCUGUGGCUCCUUGUGUUUUUUUUAUGAGGUUUUACCACUUUCCAUCUUCUGCACUUAUAAUUUGUAUGCAUGGGUCAUCUCCACUUAUUAAGGAUAAACCCCCUGCAGGCUGAAGCUUGGCCUGAUAUAACAUUGCUUUUCUGGGCAGGACCAACCAUGUGUUAGGGAAAAUAUUUAUUCA
rnacentral:lncRNA from 10 species